rnacentral:rRNA from 1 species
UAGGGAAUCUUCCACAAUGGACGCAAGUCUGAUGGAGCAACGCCGCGUGAGUGAAGAAGGCUUUCGGGUCGUAAAACUCUGUUAUUGAAGAAGAACGUGUGUGACAGUAACUGGUCAUGCAGUGACGGUAUUCAAUCAGAAAGUCACGGCUAACUACGUGCCAGCAGCCGCGGUAAUACGUAGGUGGCAAGCGUUGUCCGGAUUUAUUGGGCGUAAAGCGAGUGCAGGCGGUCUUUUAAGUCUGAUGUGAAAGCCUUCGGCUUAACCGAAGAAGGGCAUCGGAAACUGGGAGACUUGAGUGCAGAAGAGGAGAGUGGAACUCCAUGUGUAGCGGUGAAAUGCGUAGAUAUAUGGAAGAACACCAGUGGCGAAGGCGGCUCUCUGGUCUGUAACUGACGCUGAGGCUCGAAAGCGUGGGUAGCAAACAGGAUUAGAUACCCUGGUAGUCCACGCC